rnacentral:rRNA from 1 species
UACGAAGGGGGCUAGCGUUGCUCGGAAUUACUGGGCGUAAAGGGUGCGUAGGCGGACCUUUAAGUCAGGGGUGAAAUCCCAGAGCUCAACUCUGGAACUGCCUUUGAUACUGGGUGUCUUGAGUGAGAUAGAGGUAUGUGGAACUCCGAGUGUAGAGGUGAAAUUCGUAGAUAUUCGGAAGAACACCAGUGGCGAAGGCGGCUUACUGGUCCGGUUCUGACGCUGAGGCGCGAAAGCGUGGGGAGCAAACAGG